AUCCGAACCGGCGAACCCCUGGCUGCCAAAGCAGAACGUGUGCACUUAACUGCUGUGCCACUGGGCCGGCUCCUGGAAGUUGUUUUUAAGGUCUGCAAGUAUGUGCACUUUUGUGCUUAUUAAAUAUCUUGGAUCUAACUGAUAACAGUGCUUUGUGUUUCAGGUGUUGCCUUUAAUGCAUAAACUUUGCUGAUUCACUCUGUUGAAUGAGCUAGUUAACUGACUUAGAAAGGGAGUUGGAACUAGUUUAGAAAUGAAAUUGCUUUGCUUCCCCUAUACUAUAAUAUUUAGAACUUGGAGUAUUUGAGACAUGUCAUAAAUUUGAUGGAUAGUUUAAUAUGAUACUGUUUUUCAUCUCACCACCUGUGCCCAACACUGUUAUAAAAUUGAGUGAACAUCUUAUAAUCAAUCUGUGUAUUUAGAGGGAAAAAUAUUGGUAGGGAGACAUCAAGAUAUUCUUAAUAAGCUAUUUUCAAAUUGUUUUGACUUUUAUUACUUGCAUAAUGGAACUGUCCUAUCCUAAUAUCUUUGGUAAUAUAAAAGGGAAAACAGACGCUGAGGUGCUACAGUGUUUGAUGGAUUUCUCGUACACAACUCAUUCCUACCUGUCUUGUGUGGAUUCCAGGGAUCUUAACAGGAGCACCGGCUUUCUUUUCAGCCCAUAACAUUCUAUGCACCAGCUUCCUUUUCUGUUCUCUUUCCUAUGUCUUCUCUGGAUUACUGAAAAUUAUAGUUUUGUCAGUCCACCUUCUCAUCUGUUUGCUGAACUAGUCAGCUGAACACUGUACAUAGGAAACUAUAUGCUAAAUAUAUUCUUGAGAUGAUUUCUGUUUCUUUUUUGCAUUUCCUUCUAUGCCUGCUACCUCACCUCUGUGAGAUGAGAAUUGAAACUGACCCAAGGCAAUAACUGAUGAGUAGUAGUUCAUAUAGCCUCAAAACAGGAUGAGCCAGAUGUUGUGUACAGGAGUUAUGGUCAGUAGAGUCAUUAUCACUAAUGCUUCUUUCUUUCCCUUCAGCUCCUGAGACUUUUACCUUUCUCCAAGAUGGGAAUAAAAGAGGUCAGAUGAUGACAGCAGUGUACUUAGCAGCCAGGCCCCAGCUGAGCUUGGUUUCCUCUGCCUCUGCGCAUAUGCAUGUGUGCAUAUACAUAUAUGUGCAUAUAUAAAAGUAUACGUGCAUAUGUAGAUAUACAUUUGUAUAAAUUGUAUAUUCAUAUAGAAACAUUUAUAAAUAUGCAUAUAUAAAAAUAUAUGUUUACUUUCUCAUUGAGGUAUAACAUUUACAACACAAAUCUGAACUGUAUAGCUCACUUUUUAGAGACAUAUACACCUGUAUGCCCAUCACACAUGUUAAGACAUAGAACAUUAUCAGUACCUCAGAAGGCUCCCUUGUGCGCCAUCCCAAGCAGUCCACCCCAAAGUUGACCUCUAUCACCAUAGAUUAGUUUUAUUUGUUCUUGAACUUGAUAUAAAUGGAAUCAUUCAAUAUGUACUCUUUUGUGUCUGCCUUCUUUUGCUCAACAUUAUGUCUGUGAACUUCGCCCAUGUUGGUGCACACAGCAGUAGUUUGUUCUUUUUCAUUGCUGCAUAGUUUUCUGUUAUAUGAUUAGGCCACAUUUUAUUCAGUCUACUGUGGAUGGGCGUUUUGAUUAUUUCCAGUUUUUGACUACUAUGAAUAGGAAUGUAGUGAAGAUUCUUGUAUAUGCCUUUUGGUGGACAUGUGCUCAUUUCUCUUGGGUAUAUCUUUAGGAGUCAGAUUGCUAGGUCAUAGGGUAUAUAUUUGCUGCCCACCAAUUUUCCAACCAUUGGAAAUAAUUGUUCCAGUUUAUACUUUUACCAGCAGUAUAUGAGAGUUCCAGUUGCUCCACAUCCUUGCCAACAUUUGUUGUCAUUCAUUCUUGAUAUCUCAUUGGGAUUUUUAAAUUUCCUUUUCCCCAAUAAUGAUGUGGAGCACCAUUUCAUAUGUUUAUUGGCUACGUGGAUAUCCUCUUAUGUGAAGUCCCAUUCAGAUAGUUUCCCCAUUUUUUUUUAUUACAUUGUGUGUUGCUUUUUCUACAAAUUGUAGUUCUUUAUUAUGGAUAUGAGUCCUUUGUCAGAUAUGUGUAUUUUGAAAUAUCUUCUCCCAGUCUGUGGCUUGCUUUUUCACUCUCUUAAUGAUGUCCUUUGAUAAACAGAUUUUUCUCUAGCCAACCCCAAGUAAGCAGUAUUUUCCUAUGCCUCUCUAACCUCGCUACCUCUCCAUGGGGGUGAGGAGUCAUUAACAAAUUCGAGAGGUUUGUGCCUGGAGCAGUUAGUGGGCAAGGAGAUAAGAAUGAGGGAAGAACUGGGAUGAAAGCAGAACUAGGAAAUGGCAGUAAUAGGAGCAGCCUAAAUAAUCACGCAAAUAUAUCACAAAGUGGGGAGGGGCUUAGAGCUAAGGUGGCAGCCGUAUCCAGUUAUAUGUUCAUUCUCUUUUAUAUAUAUGCUUUCAUGCUCAGGCCCAAGCCCAGCUAUACUGUAGUCUAUUGGGAGGUCAUAUAUGUUUGGAAGCUCAGAGUGGAGAUGUACUUGGUUCUCACUGGGCAAGUAUGCUGAACUCUGACUGGCUGUUUGCCUUUAGUUUGUGUCCUCUUCCUCCACACCUUGCAAAUUUCACACAAGAACCUCUCAGGCACAUGAGAGACCCAUUACUAAAUAUGAAUCAUUGUAGGUGUCCUUCCCAGCCUCUUACUGACAGUUUUGACCAUCAUCAGAGUCUUGAGGCCUGGGAGAGCAGGAACUCAUCGUUUCAGGAAUCAGUGACUUUUGAGGACGUGGCUGUGUACUGCACUGAGAAGGAAUGGACCAGCCUGCUGCCUGCUCAGAGGGCCUUGUACAGGGAUGUGAUGCUGGAGAACCAUAGGGCUGUGGCCUUCCUAGGUAAGGCCUCUCUGUUGCUGGUCUCUGCCUGGGCCCUCAGAGGUUAAAGGGCUCUCUUAUAACUAUUACCUGGCCCAAAUGGCAGUGUCAGGAGUUGCCAGGUUUGGAGAGCCCUGGCAUCUAUUUGACUUCCAAGAAGGCUUCCCUUCUUUUUCCAUCAUAAAAGCUCCCCUCUCUCCCUUCCUGCCUUAGUGGUGAUUCUCUGGGUACAGCAGGGCUUGAACUAUAUCUUGAUGCCCUUACGCUAGUACUGAACCUCCAGAUUAUCUAGAGAGAGCUCAGCCCCUUGGUCUCCCUGUGGGAGUUGCUCCUCGGAGCUCUGUGUCUGUUUCCCCACAGUGGUAAUUUCCCAUCCUCUAACAAAGAAGGUAAGAUAUUCUAUUCCUCUUUAAGUAGAAAUUUGCCUCCCAGAGUGUUUCAAGCUUCCUUGAGAGCACUGUCCUAAGGCUUCUUCCCAGGACCCCUCCUUGUACCUCUUUAGAGUACCUCUUGCUCAGUCCAUCCAGGAGUCACUCUCCUUAGCUCUGGCUCUUCUUGUAGCCACAGGCUGAGAUUGACCCCUGUGACUCUGCUCAUCAUUGUGUUGUGUCUUCUUCCCUUCAAGCAGCAUCACUCACUUCCAAACCAGCUCUGAUCUCUUAACUGGAGCAAGGGAAAGAGCCCUGUUUUACUCAGUCACAGGGAACCCUAAGCAGAAGGAGCAGGAGAGCAGGCCGUACAGGUGGAAAAACCUGGGCUGAGAAAGAGUGUUUGACUUCAAAGCAAAUAAUUUCUGAUAAACACAAAUCCUAUGGCAUGGGAUCAGUUUCAUCAUCGGAGAGUGCAUAUGGUGGGGAGAGACCGUUUAAAUGCAAGGACUGUGCUAAGACCUUUGGUGAGAAAAAUACCUUUUUUCGGCAUCAGAGAAUUCAUACAGGUGAGAAACCGUAUUUAUGUAAGAAGUGUGGCAAAGCUUUCCGUGUGAACUCACAGCUCAUUCACCACCAAUUGCUACAUACUGGAGAGAGACCCUACCGAUGUAGAGUGUGGGAAAAGCUUCACUCGGAACUCAAACCUUGUCCAGCAUCAGAAAAUUCACUCUGGGAAGAAAGCCUAUCAGUAUAAAGAAUGUGGAAGGCCUUCAGGCAGAAAGGCAAUUUAAAUCAACGUCAGCAAAUCCACUCUUGCAAGACAGAUUUCCAAGAAAGUUCAAGAUUGGAGCAGCACCAGAGACUCCAUGAUAGAGAAGGACACUGAGAACGUAAGGAUUGUGGGAAAAUCUUUAUUCAGAAUGCAAGUUUGUUCACCAUCAGAGUAUUCACUCAGGAAACAAACUUGUAAAUGAAAUUGUUGGUUCAUGUAUCUCCCAAGUGCAGGUUAUUCGGCUCCCUCCCUACUUGGCCUGGCCACACCAAUCCUGCCCUUCACCUCACCUCUCCCCAGAGGGCUCCCUCUGCUCCAGCCAGUACUUUCUCCCUGCUCUCUGCAUCACACACUCUCUCACUUCCUACCUCACAGCGGUUGCUCUUUCAUCUCCCUCAGAUGCCCUCCCCUCUUCUCUCUCCUUUUCUUUGAUCUUUCCUGGACUUAAAUAGGCCCUUUGAAGUUUGCAACUUUGAUACUGCCUUUUGCACGGUCUUACAUACACCCUCCUCCACCUUGAAUUGUUACCUUUUCUAGAUGACCACAUUAUACUUGCUACUCAGUUAUAUGCUGGGGGUUUUUUCCUCCUGUAGUAGACUCAGAUUUUUAUUUUUAACUGUUGUAGCCAACUUGUCACUUCUCAAGGACAGGAGUCCCGUGACUAGAUGAAAAAAGUCGGGAAAUUUGGAUAUAUUUCCAUUGUAAGUGAAUGUGUAGCAUGACCAUUUGAAUGUCAAUACAGGAAUGAUAGAAAUGAGCAAUUUCACUCAGCCCAGGAAGGGAGAGAUUUUUACAGAAACUGACGAUAUUGCUGUAAGAAACGGACCUUGUAGGAGGCUAUAAACUAGUAGUAAGUGGGAACUGUUCCUUGGCUGUGCUUCUUCAAGGGGUGAUUUCAUCAGGACUGCCCUGUACAACUGGGUAUUAGCCACUGGACUCAUUUGCCAUUUCACAGAAGACUGAUCUAUUAAACAAAAAGUCAAUUUGUUAUUUUUCCAUAUGGUACGUAUUUUCUGGGUCCAAAGGAUUAUUUGCUGUCUAGUUUCCAUCUAUCUGUCUCUCUCUCUUUGUAAGUAGGUGGCAUCAACAACUCUGCCUGCCAUUGGCAGCCUUGAGUAUCCUUGUGGAGUAUAGUGCAUAACAGGCAAAGGGGAGGUGGGAGGGCAGGUAUGGAGGAUGUCCGGAACAAACUGCUGGCAUGGCCUGCCCUUUCCUACUGAGACCCAUAAGAUGUUUUGAUGCCUCCUUUAUGUGAGCAGCACAUCUUUUAUGGAGAACAGGGCUGUCCAGGAAGUCCUCUUCUUAACAAUAAUAGAAAUAACCAUAGUUCCACUACCAUUAAUUGAGCACUUACCAUGGACCAUGCGCUAUGUUAUGGACUUUACAUGCUUUAUUUCAAUCCUAUAAUAGGUCUGAGGGGUAAGGGGUUAUUAUUGUCACCAUCUUUCAGAUGAAUACAUUGGGGUUUAUUGAGAGGUCAGAAUUCAAACCCAGGGAGUGUGACUCCAGGACUCACACAUGUGAUCUUGGUUGCCCCACUUCCUUUAUUCAUCUACCCCUGUUGGGACUUUGUGUCCCAAGCCAGGAUCUUUGAAGUCAGGCAUCCCAAGUGUCUCUUCCCUACCCGCCCUGCACCACUGAAACACCUCCCACAAUCCGGCUCCCACAAAUGAAGCCUGUGGAAGGGCCAGUCACAGCCUCUGUCUACCUUCCCACACUCAGGACUGGUAGCAGCUGCAGAUCUUGCUCCAGGGGCUUUCUGGUGAGGAAUCAGACACUUACAGAAAAUAAUGGGAGUAAGAGAGGGGUUGGGGAAAGCAGCUGCAGCCUUGAGCACAGCCUGGGGAUGCGAAAGAAGGUUAGAGAGAACCGUGUUGGUUGGAAACAGAUGGUACGUAAAUGAAUGUAUUUGGGAGGAUCUGAUUGUGUAUAUAGCAGAACCAACUGUUGAGAGAGUCAAAUGUGCCGAGGAGUUGAUAACCACUUGGACUUGCUAAAAAUUGAAUUAAUUUUAAGCAACACACUAGUAUCUCAGUUUCAUUUGAUUAUGAGACUGGUACUAAGUAGCCUACGUAAUUCAGUUUGUUUAUGUAUUGAAUAUUAUCACAGGACAAUGAAAAAGUUAUCUCACUCUUGUACAAAUAAAUUAUGACUAUUUUAAGUAAAAUUUAAAGAAAAAUGUACCUCCCAAUUCCACUGCCCCAGUAGAUCCCCAUUUUUAUUUCUCUGUGUUCAUUGUUAUCCCUUGUCCGUACGUGUAUAUAUAAUUGAACCAUAACAGAUAAAAUGUUAUGGCUUUGCCUUUCUUCCAUUUUUCUUGUCUUAAGCAUUUUCCCUCUUUCCCAGUUCUGUAUAGUCUGCAUAAUUACUGUUUGUCACUGAGUGGAUGUACCCUUCUUUAAUUUCCCUCAUCAAGUUGUGAAGUUUUUUGGGGUAGAGACUAAGUCUCAAUCAUUUUUUCCCCUCUAGCAUCCAUCCAGUAGGUGGUAUUUCAUUUUUAUUGAAGUUCAUUGAUGGGCAUUAGAAAAUUUCUAUUUUUGAGCUCUUGUAAAUGAUGUUACUGUCAACAAUGCCAUAAAUAUAGUUUUCCCCCCUUAUUUUGAAUCAUUUCCUUGGAAUAAAUUCCUAGGAUUGAGAUUAACCAAACCCCAGGGUAUAAUCAUUUUUACGUUUUAAAAGCAUGCUGCCAUAUUGCCUUCUUAAAAGAUUGUACUGAUUUACUUUGCUACCAGAAAUGUAUGAUACAGUAUUUGAUUUCAAUCUUAUCAGCAGUAGAUAUUAUAACUUAAAAGAUAUUUUUAAUUUAAUUGGUAUAAAAUACUACUUGUUUGCUUCUAUUUAUAUUUCUUUACUAUAAUUAUUAAAGUUGAAUGUUUUUCUAUGUUAGUUUGCUAAUUGUAAAUCCUAUGUGAAAAAUUUGUCUUUUGUAUCAUGUGCCUUUUAAUCCACUGAGUUUUUAAUGUUUUGCUUAAGAAUUUGAGAUUUUAAUGCAGUAUAUAAACACUCAUUGUGUCGACCUCCAGAGAAGUGAUACUUACUCAUGUCUGCUUUAUGCUAUAUUUAAAAACUGUAGUUCAAUUUAAAAGCACCUAACCCGCUAGAGUUUAUUUUGAAAUGCCUAAAGUUACUCCCAUUUCAGCAGAUAAAUAUUCUUAGUCCCAUUGAUUUACGAUGGCCCCAUAAUUGUAUGUUUAAAUUCUAACAUAUAAUAGGUUUGAUUUCCAGGCUUUCUGUUGUGCUCCAUUAAUCAAUUAAUCAUCAAAUCUUUUUUUCCUCCCCAGCAGUAUGUCACACUAUUUGUUAUUGAUUUUUUGGAGACUAAGUUCUGAUUUCCUUUCAUUGAGUCUGUUUCAAUUAUAUUUGUUUCAAAAGUCUGUGUAUGUUUCUGAAUGUUUAAAAUAUAUCAUAUUUGAAAAAUAAAGGAUAAUAAUAAAUACCGUGUAACCAUCACGUAGAUUUUUUUAAAAUGCUAAUCUUGAGUGCACCCAUUCUUUUUCCACAUGUAUUUUUCAUGAUUAUAUGGAAGCCAUCGCAUCUUAACAUUUAAAA